rnacentral:rRNA from 1 species
AACGAACGCUGGCGGCAGGCUUAACACAUGCAAGUCGAACGCAUCCUUCGGGGUGAGUGGCAGACGGGUGAGUAACGCGUGGGAACGUGCCCUUCAGUUCGGGAUAACCCAGGGAAACUUGGGCUAAUACCGGAUACGUGCGAGAGCAGAAAGAUUUAUCGCUGAAGGAUCGGCCCGCGUCUGAUUAGCUAGUUGGUGGGGUAAUGGCCCACCAAGGCGACGAUCAGUAGCUGGUCUGAGAGGAUGAUCAGCCACAUUGGGACUGAGACACGGCCCAAACUCCUACGGGAGGCAGCAGUGGGGAAUAUUGGACAAUGGGCGCAAGCCUGACCCAGCCAUGCCGCGUGAGUGAUGAAGGCCUUAGGGUUGUAAAGCUCUUUUACCCGGGAAGAUAAUGACUGUACCGGGAGAAUAAGCCCCGGCUAACUCCGUGCCAGCAGCCGCGGUAA